AUCUUGAAUCUUCAGCGGCAUAACGAGUAUCUGGUAGAAUGAGCCGUUCGUUGGAUUGUCGGAUGAAAGUAUGUCCAUCAUUUUUCUCCUGGGAAUAUGGCUCUUGACGCAACUCCUCGAGGUAAAGGCUAGCCGGAGGCCAUCUUCGUCUUCGAAUGCUGCCUCAUCGUUAGGGGGCUCCGAUACUUUCCUGAAAAGCAGCCAGAGCGAUACAAAAGAGGACUGUGACGCUCGCGACCUGCUCAUCUGGCUCCUACUACUGACGAUCGGCACCGUCCUAGUCAUCGCGGCCACCACCUUCCUCUGCCUUGCCUGGCGUCGCAUCAGGAAGAACACCUGCUGCCUCAAACAGAAGAUCACCUACAUGGAGAUGGAGACCAUCCUCCGGCUACCCGAGUUCACCCACUGCGACGACGAGUGAGCCACGGAAAAAACACCUUCAUUGGCCUAAGACCCCAGAACGUAAGAUAGCUCCCGAUUGGUCCUAUGAUACUCGCGAGUGUUUUAAAUUUGAUAAGGGAAUCGCAGGAUUAUGGAGAUUUGCAAAGAAUGUCGAAGAGGAGGUUGACUAAACAAGAUUUGAAUUUGGGUACCAUCUGGAAAAAGGCAACGGGGUCGUAACUAGAAGGGAUGGUGGUGGGGCGUUGACGAAGAGAUAUCGCGUUGUCAGUUGCCCGAUAACCUUUGGAAAGAUAGGCAUAUGUGGCGUUUGGGAGUUGCAUAGCGCCAGAAAGUGUCGUAGAAGCGACUUCUAUAUAUAUGUGUAGGAAUUUUUUCUAGGGUAGGUGGGGUGUCUCCCUGAUGGGCCUCCCCCCUGGGAAAAUGUGACGGAUGUCGCUCAAUCAGUGCAAGACACACAUUUCAUCUUUAAUGAUAUAUAUUUCAAUCAACUUCUCGGGGAAAAACAACUCAAAUUUGCCUCUGAGGGGACUCAAUGUUUCAUAAUUAAUUGUUCCGGGGAAGCCCCAGGACCCCCCAAUGAAGUUGAGGGAGUCUCUCUCGACCUUCACUGGUAGUAAGUAAUUCUGUGCCCUCCUCCCCUCCCCCGUUUCCCCUUGAUGAGAUGACCCUCUGCUUCCCUACAAAAAAGCCAGUUGCGCCCACGGCUUAGCUUAUGCCAAAAAAUUGCAUAUUUAAGAGGGUUCUUCUUUUCUUCUUCAAAGUUGGAGCGUAUAGGUAAUGAGGACGGGGGUGGUUGUUGUUGCAGAGACCUCGGGGUGGGGAUGGGUGGCGACGAGGGUCGGGGCUCGUUCGAGCUGGUGUUCUCGCAGGACAAGACGUUGAACGCGCGGUACCUGGGCAGCGGGACGGCCGGCGUGGGUGAGUGUCGGCUUGGCUACGUCCCGGCCUGGCUGGUAGUCUGCACGGUCACCCUCUUCCUCGUCGUCUUGGCCGUUUUCCUCCUGGCCAUCUUCGCCAUGCGCCUCGUCAUGGCCCAGGACUGCCUCAAGCAGAAGGUCAAGCACAUCGACAUGGAGAACCUAAUGGCCCUCCCCAAGUCCGCCCAAGAUGAGGAAUGCAUCGGCUGUCAUUGACGCCCACGCCCGCCGGCGUCGCCAUCGGUGAGCCCACUCUGUACCAACAUCACAAACUCAUCCCUGUUAAGUGCUAGAUACGCCUGCGAGCUAUACGCGCGUCUAGAGCGGCGAGGAGGCUUCGGCCGUGUUCGGGAAUCUCCAUAGCCAAUCAGGUUGCAGCUCACCGCCCGGAACUCGCUCAAGGUAGGAUCGGAUCCUACUUUUCGCGUCUAGACGCGCGUCUAGCCAGCAGGUGUAUUUGGCGCUUUAGAGGCAGUAUAUUUUUUGAGACCUUUCGUCAACAACCUGAGCAAUGUGAUCGGGUGAUGCUGAUGUUAAGUUCGUAGGUCAGCGCUAUUUUUCGCCUAAUUAUAGUCAAUAAGCAACUUGUUGAACAUAAAAUCAAAUAAAAUUCGCCUAAUUAUGACUAAUGAAUGUGGGACCGAGUACUCUGCUGAGCGAGUUUUAUUGAAAAUCGGUUUAGGAUUGCUAAACCAAAUGCUAAACUCUUUCGGUCAUUUGUCAUCAUUUGGCAGAUCUGACAAGACUUCCGCGAGUUGCCUUUACAAUACAAGGAAAACAGCAAGGCAGGAUCCCUAAAAUAUAUUGGCUCCAACGCCAGAGAUUAUAAAACGAUCCUCGUCCCAUCCGUCCUCGUCCGAUGUCGGCCUAUAACCGGGGCGGAGACGUUCUACCGUAGUUAGGCUCAGAAGGCGACAUUAAUCCCGAAAAGAUAUCUCAUUUCGAAGCGAGGAAGACAAUAUUCUUACCGAUCCAAUAAUUCCACCUGAUCCCUAAAAACCGUUGUCAUAAGAAAGUGGAGUCAAGGGACUACCAUACCGGAAAUGCUCAAAUCUCCGGCUGCAUCAGCUGACCGCCGGACACACUCCCUGAUUGCGCGCGGAAGUUACAGCAUCACGUAGAUAUUUAUAAGAAGUAAGUAUUCGGCAUUUACAGUUACAUCUGCUGAUCGCCGGAAACACUCUCUCAUUGCACGCGAAAAUUAUACAGCGUCAAAAGGAAUAUUUACCGGAAAUAUCAAAAACAUGGGUUCCAUUUAUUAGGUAGAUAUAGGCAAUUUGAAAUAUAGGUACGAAGAAAAGGUGCAAAUUAUAAAUGCUAGUAAAAGAUAAAGAAACCCCUUCAAUUCGUAGCUAGGCAACAUGUACAUUACUCCGACGCGGUAGAAAUAAUUUCAACUCUUAUACAUAAUCGCAGUCCAUUGCAAUCUGAGCCUCUUGGGCGGAGAGCACAUUCUCGGCUUUGAGCUCAAGCUCCAGAUUCCGAUUGAGCAGUUUUCAUUGGUUUUCUUUUUCUUUGUAGAACUGAUGUAUAUCCAGAUUAGCUUCUGCCUCCAGUGAGGAAACUUUCGGGCCCUCUUUUCGUCACAUAAGUCCAGGUUCUCCUUGGAGCCGAUUUCUCAUAAAUACAGAGAUGACUCAAGUUGGCGCAGUAGAUUUAGGACCGGCGGUAGAUUUGGCGUCGAACCUUUGGGCAGCGUUGCCGCCGAAGAUAUUCGAUGACGACAUUACUCCGAUGCAGGCUCGGACUAAAGGGGACGUCACGGACGAUUCCUGGGACCAGCCUCAAAGAGGAGAUUCGGAAUAUGAACUCAAAUCCAAAAAGAAAUACAACAACAACGCUAGGUCAGUACGGCAACAGGUUGAUUUUCUCUUGCGGAGUGUGAGGUUCCAACAAGUGAUGGGGAUUUUCAGUUUAAUGGAACGUACUUAACCAGUGGCGUGGCGUGAAUGAUCGAUUAUCGACAUUUCUCCAUUUGAAGCUAUGGUAAAGAAUCGAUGAUUGAGGUGUUCGUUGCGAACGCCCUGUUCAUCGAUCCUUUACCGUAGAUUUAAAUGGCAGAUCAAUCGAUGUAUCGCGAAGCACGUCACGCUACUGGAUUCAACCGGAGUCAGCAUAAUUAAUCAGACGUUGUCUGACUUCCUCCCAUGUUUUAUUCCGUCCACAGAAAAUGUAUCAAGUUUAGACUUGAAAUUUUGUGUGUUUACAUUGUACACGACGGCGAUACUACAAAACCACGCGAAUUCAAGCUAUUAAGUGGCUUGUUACUCUUCAAAAUAGCACGUAUCUCCGUCUGCAUUUCUGCAACACUGCAGACGUGUGGGACAUUGUCCCAUACUUCAUGUUUUCUUUGAAAAACAAGUCAACGUAAUAUCUUGAAAACUUCUUUUAUUUUUUCAUCUGUGUCAGCACAAUAUUCAAUAUAGAAUUCAAGCUAUCAAGUGACUUGUUUCCUUCAAAAAAAAUAAAAUAGGGGCGACGAUUUAGAAACACCGCAAUUUAGAUACAUGGUAUAAUACAGGGUGAGCGAAAAGUCCCGACCCCCCCUCUAACUUUUGAACGCAUGCACGUAUCGAAACGAAAUUUUGGGGAUGCUCCUGGAUCAAUAUGAGCUACUUUUUGGUACAUCCAAAAUUUUUUUUUGGGGGGGGCGCCCGGGCG
rnacentral:lncRNA from 1 species